rnacentral:rRNA from 1 species
GAUGAACGCUGGCGGCGUGCUUAACACAUGCAAGUCGAACGAUGAAGCCCAGCUUGCUGGGUGGAUUAGUGGCGAACGGGUGAGUAACACGUGAGUAACCUGCCCUUAACUCUGGGAUAAGCCUGGGAAACUGGGUCUAAUACCGGGUAGGAGCGUCCACCGCAUGGUGGGUGUUGGAAAGAUUUAUCGGUUUUGGAUGGACUCGCGGCCUAUCAGCUUGUUGGUGAGGUAAUGGCUCACCAAGGCGACGACGGGUAGCCGGCCUGAGAGGGUGACCGGCCACACUGGGACUGAGACACGGCCCAGACUCCUACGGGAGGCAGCAGUGGGGAAUAUUGCACAAUGGGCGAAAGCCUGAUGCAGCGACGCCGCGUGAGGGAUGACGGCCUUCGGGUUGUAAACCUCUUUCAGUAGGGAAGAAGCGAAAGUGACGGUACCUGCAGAAGAAGCACCGGCUAACUACGUG